CGAAUAUAGCUUUCAUCAUUGCCGUAACAUCGACGGGUUAGGAAAAAGGGAUUAGAGCCCUCGUCUGUUGCUAUAAGUAGGUGAGGGACAAAGUAGAGAAGGUCAGCAGCGAGGCUACUGACAUUGAAGGUGAGAUGCGAUCCCCUCCCAAGGAUAAAGAAAAAAAUGGAGGAUGUCUCCAAGAAGAAAUACAAGGUCUCCUCCACUGGAGAAGAGGGUCGAUGGCCAGCCCAUUACCUUAAACGAAAGUCCCACGAAAAAAUUGAUGGAAGCCUUUAUUGCUGUAGCCAAGCCAACUCUUAUGGAGCCCUCAAGGCAAAGAAUCAUCGAAGAGGGUGAGGACUUUGAGUGAGUCAACUGCUUCUGAUGUUGCUCUUUUCCUCAGGCUCUCCGUCUCAAAAAGUAGCAAUGAGUUGCUCUGAAGGUUCUGUCCAUGCUUCCACCAAAGGUUCAAAUUGCAACUUCCACAUUUCACAAGUACUGGACGAAUAGGUGGCCGAACUUCAUGGAGACUAGUGAUUCAAUAGACACAUUUACCAACAUGGUAAACCAGGUAGGGAGUGCCUUUGGCACCGCCAUAGAAGCUGAAGUCCUCUUUAAAAAACUUCAAAAGAAAAAUAAGUUGUUAUUGAAUAAGGUCUCCCAGGCCAAUGAGAUAACCAUGAAGGCUAAAGUCGAAGCUAAAGCUAUAAGAAAAUAGCAAGUUGGGGAGUCUGUGAAGCUCGUCUCUGCUUUAGCAGAGAUUGAAAAUCUGAAGAAGAAAGUCCACUUAUCUUAAAGUGAAGUGGCUUCCCUGACUAAAUGAGUGGAGACUUCGAAUGCUCAUCAAAAACUUAUUAUUGAGGCCUUAGAGAAGGCAAAUAAAAGAACGUGGUAUUAAAGCAAAAGAUGAGGGAGCUCAACUCUAGGGGUUGCUAGCCUCACUGACGAGGUGGGAUGUGUUUGAGAAGAGCCCAAUCUGCUGGCAAUGAUGCUGUAAAACAAUACAUAGCCAACUUCCACUUAACCAAGGAGUAUCAGCGUUCACCAAUAUUUGUGAAGGUUUUCAUACAUCGAGGUGGUGGAAUGGAUUGAGUUUAUGUCAGAGUUUCUAGACAAAGGAGAGCCUGAGACCUCAAUAGAGAACAUCUGUGUCAUUAAGCUUAAAGAUGAUGAAGCUGGAGAUGAGCAUUUAACUUCCAAAGUAGAUGGUCCUCAAGUUAUUAUCCCUUUUACUGGUGCUCUUUCUCUUCCUCCACUUAUUUAGCUUAUAGGAUUUAUUUUUAUUUUUCUUAUUUUUACUUCUUUGUAAGUGGCUUCGCCCUCAAUGUAAAUAUUGUUGUUCAUUGAAUAGCAAAUUCUUUCGUUACA
rnacentral:lncRNA from 1 species